CCUACGGGUGCAGCAGUGGGGAAUAUUGGACAAUGGGCGAAAGCCUGAUCCAGCCAUGCCGCGUGUGUGAAGAAGGCCUUCGGGUUGUAAAGCACUUUCAGUGGGGAAGAAAGCCUUGGGGCUAAUACCCUCGAGGAAGGACAUCACCCACAGAAGAAGCACCGGCUAACUCCGUGCCAGCAGCCGCGGUAAUACGGAGGGUGCGAGCGUUAAUCGGAAUUACUGGGCGUAAAGCGCGCGUAGGCGGUCUGAUAAGCCGGUUGUGAAAGCCCCGGGCUCAACCUGGGAACGGCAUCCGGAACUGUCAGGCUAGAGUGCAGGAGAGGAAGGUAGAAUUCCCGGUGUAGCGGUGAAAUGCGUAGAGAUCGGGAGGAAUACCAGUGGCGAAGGCGGCCUUCUGGACUGACACUGACGCUGAGGUGCGAAAGCGUGGGUAGCAAACAGGAUUAGAUACCCUUGUAGUC
rnacentral:rRNA from 1 species